UACGUAGGGUGCGAGCGUUGCCCGGAUUUAUUGGGCGUAAAGGGCGCGUAGGCGGCUCUGCACGUCCGUUGUGAAAUCGCUCGGCUCAACUGGGCGGGGUCAGCGGAUACGGCGUAGCUGGAGCAAGCUAGGGGGCAAUGGAAUUCCCGGUGUAGUGGUGGAAUGCGUAGAUAUCGGGAGGAACACCAGUGGCGAAGGCGGUUGCCUGGAGCUUUGCUGACGCUGAGGCGCGAAAGCGUGGGGAGCGAACAGG
rnacentral:rRNA from 1 species